CCCAUCGGUGCUGGCUCUCCCUGUGGCGCUGAACGGAACCAGGACCCUCCCUCACCUGCUCCGUGGGGGCCGCCUGCUCCCAUCGCCCCUCCUGGUACAACCAAACGUGGCAGAGCCCAGAGCAAACCCCAGGCAGGGCUGGGCUGACCGAGCUGCAAAUAUCCCCGUCCCAGCUGGACCCUGGCGCGGCGCCUGAGAUACCAGGUGGAUGGAUACAGGGAUGAGUGUGACUCUGCCCAAUCCCAGCCCCUGGGGACAGGUGAGCUCUGCUGCUACACAUGGCAUGGGUAGAGCAGGGGGGGUAGGAGCCAGGAUGCCUGGGUUCUAUUCUUGAGACGAGGAGAGGAGGAGGGACUAAUGGUUAGAGCAGGGAGUCAGGAUUCCUGGCUUUUAUCCCCAACUCUGGGAGAGGGGUGGAUCUGUGGGUGAGAGCAGGUGGGGGUUGGGAAUCAGGACUCCUGGGUUCUAUUCCCUCAAAAACUGUCAUCUGGCUCUAGCAAAUAUUCUUGCCCUGUGGGACUGGAUGGGGAGGGACCUGCCCCUUCGUUCACUCCUAGGGCCCCACUGACAAACUCACCUGACUCUCGCCCUCAACAUGCCCAGGGUCGAGGUUUCAUGGCCGGCAGGGAAGGCAGUGCUAAGGGAAGGUGCCAAUUUUACCCUGCGCUGCCAGGCUGCUGCCCUGCGGCCCGUCGCCGGGUACGUCUGGUCCCGCGGGGACGUGUGGCUGCCAGAAGCCGGGCAGGAUUUACGUGUUGACAAGGCAGCCGUCUCCGAUGGAGGGAGCUACGCAUGCGGAGUCUGGGUCUCCGGCCCCGGCUGGGGGUAUCUGAGCCUCUCUGCGAGGGAAUCGGUCGAAGUUCAGCUCACCCACCCUGUUUGGGCUCCGAAGUACAUCAUAGGACCGACAGCUGCUCUUGUCCUAUUGCUGCUACUGGGGCUGGUCGGUGUUAUGGCUUGGAGGUAUUUGCGCUUUGGCAAACCGGUAAUAGCCACGUCUCUGAUCUCUGGCAAUCCCCAGCUCCUUCCGUCUGGCCUUUGCCGGAGAACCCCGAGCAAUCCAGGACUGAGAAUUGCUGAGCCAAUUCAGAUGCAUUGA
rnacentral:lncRNA from 1 species